GACGAACGCUGGCGGCGUGCCUAAUACAUGCAAGUCGAGCGGACAGAAGGGAGCUUGCUCCCGGAAGUUAGCGGCGGACGGGUGAGUAACACGUGGGCAACCUACCCUGUAGAUCGGGAUAACAUCGAGAAAUCGGUGCUAUACCGGAUAAUCAUUUGAAGUGCAUGCUUCGAAUGUAAAAGAUGGCUCCGGCUAUCACUACGGGAUGGGCCCGCGGCGCAUUAGCUGGUUGGUAAGGUAAUGGCUUACCAAGGCAACGAUGCGUAGCCGACCUGAGAGGGUGAUCGGCCACCCUGGGACUGAGACACGGCCCAGACUCCUACGGGAGGCAGCAGUAGGGAAUCUUCCGGAAUGGACGAAAGUCUGACGGAGCAACGCCGCGUGAGUGAUGAAGGUUUUCGGAUCGUAAAGCUCUGUUGUUAGGGAAGAACAAGUGCCGUUUGAAUAAGGCGGCACCUUGACGGUACCCAACCAGAAAGCCACGGCUAACUACGUGCCAGCCGCCGCCGUAAGAC
rnacentral:rRNA from 1 species